AAAAGCAAAGGAAAGUUUUGGUGGGAACACACCUCAAGUUUUUGAACAAGUUCUUUGGCAUCAGGGGCAGAGACAAAGAUGUGGCGCUGAGAUGGCCUGAUAAAACCAUCAUCAACGGCUUUAUCAAUGAAAGUGAGGAGGCUUGUCGUGGAUUCCAAGUUGUGCCCAUGUUAUUACUUCCAACAACUCCUCCAGUGUUCCAUACCCACCUGAUAUCAAUUUGCAUGAACAGAGCAAUUAUUAAUAAAUCUUCUUUUGGAAGAAAGAUGUAAACUUCGAAAAACCCUGGCCGAGUUUCAAGUUUACAAGGAUUAUUUGAUCAAUAUAACUGCAAUAGUCUCUUGUUUCUUAACUAUCAAGUAAGAACCCACCGUUUACAUUUAAUUGCAGCGGUAAUGGAAUAAUAUUAUGUUCCAAUUUGACAUAGAGAUUACAUUACAAACCAGCCACAACUGAUCUCUUAUAAGGUUAUGGACACGGGACACCCUUACUUUGACAAUUGUACUCUCCUUAGAAUAGUUAGAUGUGGUAUGUGCAGUGUGAUAAGAGUUUCUAAAAGGAGCCUAAUGAGUAACAAA